rnacentral:misc_RNA from 1 species
AGACUGCUGAUGGUUUUGUUAAUGCUUAACAGUUGUCCCUGAAAACUGCUGUUGAAGUUUAAUUUUCCCACUCUGUACGUAAGACAUAAUUAGAUCCCAAUUUUAGCUGAUGCGUGCUUUUCUUCUUAUUUUAUUUUUUUUUAAUUAUCUCAUAAUGGCCUUUGAUUAAUAUAUAGUGCUUUUCUUCAUAACAAAAUGGAUCUUUGCACCAUCAACAUUUAGGCCUGGGGGAAGCGGAGAGUAGCUAAAUGACGAACUAUUCUGGCGUAAGUUUCUUUCUUAUAGGACCUAUUGAAAUUUUAAUUUUUCAUAAAAAAAUAGUACAUAAAAUUUCGUAGUUAAAUUAUUUCUUAAAUCUUAAAGCUUCAGUAAUGAAUUUGACGGUGACAUUUUUCAAUCACAUUCAAGAAGGGCAAGCAUGGAUAAGCUAAGAAUUUCCUUCUAUGUCAAUUAAAAAAAAAACUAAAAUAGAAUACUGUUCAAGAAUCACUCAAAGAAGAAAGAAGUUUCAGUGAAAAGAAAUCACAAAAUAAAAAUUAAUAAUUAACAAAUAUGAUGAAACAAAUCAAGUGUCGAUUUUACCACCUUGUGGAUUUCUGCCCCAAGAAAAUUGAAACCUGGAUGGCAUAUUGAACAAAUGGCACCAAUCUGUUGCAAUUAUCUUCUUGCUGUCAGAGUAGUUCAUGUCAAAAUCACCAUUCCUCUUGUAUUCUGAUUUCAGUUGGGGGUAUAAUUGAGUAUUGAAAGUGCUUCAAUUCCUGUCUUCAUUUUUUUUUUUUAAAUACAAAAUCUCUAACAUGCGCAACCGCCUCCUUGCUGCUCAUUCUGGGAUGAAUUGACAGUAGGCUUGAGGUUCACAUCAACCAUGUCUUCUUGUUUCGUUGAAGAAAGCGUUUCCAUCCCCGGUAAGGCAGAAGCAAUUUUCCGGAAUAAAGGCUGCAAUUCAUAUUCUCAAAUCAAGCUCAAAGCCAUACAAAGUGAACAACAGAAACAAAGACAAGCGAAAACGCCAUAGCUACAUCAUCAGGUGAACGGAUAUCGUAUUAACUAUUAUUGCCUACGAUAUAAAUUCCUCUAAAAGAUCAGAGCAACUUAAUCACAUUAUUAGCUUGGAAAAUACAUUUUACCUUAAUAUUGAACCCUGCUUUUGCGCUGGUUUCUAUAAACAUUACUCCAAACUCUUUUGCCUUGUUAUCUCCUUCCUCUAUGGAAACUUGCCUGUUAAAUCAAUAAACAAACAUAGUCGAUGAUUUCAAACUACAGCCAGAAUUUAUUAAUAGAUGAACCACUUACGCUUGAAAAGAAAGCACAUGAAGAUUGGAGAAAGAAAAACAACAAUAUUGGAAAGCAAAUUAGUGUCCUAAUAUUUGAAGAAUUCCUAGUCAUCCAUCUCUCCUUAGAUCAGAGUUUAUAAAUAUAGAACAGAAGUAAACCCAAGAAGCAGAGGAAAGUAGAAUUGUUAUUACUUAGUUUUCUUUAUCAUACACAAAUGGGACUCUUCAGAAAGCAUGAUUCAUCAUCUUAUUUUCAUCAGUUAAUUUCUUACCUUUUCUCAACAAGAUCAGUUUUGUUCCCAACAAGGACAAUAAUGACAUCACUGCCUCGUUCUGUUCGUACCUCCUCAAUCCACUUAGAAGUGUUCAAAAAUGAUUGCCUAUUGGCCACAUCAAAGACAAUUACAGCAACAGAAGAAUCUCUAAUGUAGCUUGGAAUAAGACUUCUAAAUCUUUCUUGACCAGCAGUAUCCCAGAGCUGCAGGCGAACUGUUCGAUCUUCAAGGUACAUUGUCUUUGAUAAAAAAUCAAUACCAAUCGUAGCCUGAUAAGUGGUGUCAAAUUUAUCGUACAUAAAACGAGUAAUUAUACUGGUUUUGCCCACAGAUUGAUCUCCCAAAAACACCAGCUUAUACUUUGCUAAUGACGAUACCACCGACAUUGGAACCAAAAUUCUAUUGAAUUACCCUUUCUUUUUCUUUCUUCUUCAAAAUACAAUUUCUCUCUCUCAGAUCUGAAUGGGUGGAAAGAGAAAAUUAAGGAAGAUAAAACACUUCUCUGCCUCUCUUCGAAUUCUCUCUAUAUAUAUAAUACCACUAACCGCCAACUCCAUCAAAGCUCCACAUUUCCCCUUCCUCAAUAAAUUAAAAAUAAUAAGGAAAAUUACACUAGUUAAAUAACAAAAGUCACUUUAUUUUUCUUCUCUUUUAACAUUCCCAUACAUAACUUCACCAUGCAUUACAAUGUUCGUGGUAUACAAUGUAUCCACUGCAAAUGGUAUUGUUGAAACAUAAUUCAACUAUUUCAAGAUACAUAACCAUAAAUUAAAAUCAUAUAAAUUUAGGUUCAAAAUAAUUGAAUUAUCUAUCAACAAUAAAAUUUGC